rnacentral:rRNA from 1 species
UACAUGGGGUGCAAACGUUGCUCGGAAUUAUUGGGCGUAAAGCGCACGUAGGCGGUCCGUUAAGUCGGAUGUGAAAGCCCCCGGCUCAACCGGGGAAGUGCAUCCGAAACUGGCAGGCUAGAGUACGAAAGAGGGUCGCGGAAUUCCCGGUGUAGAGGUGAAAUUCGUAGAUAUCGGGAGGAACACCAGUGGCGAAAGGCGGCUCACUGGCCCAUAACUGGACGCUGAGGCACGAAA